UACGAAGGUGGCAAGCGUUGUUCGGAUUUACUGGGCGUAAAGGGAGCGUAGGUGGUGCGGUAAGCCCUCCGGGAAAGCUUCAGGCUUAACCUGAAAAGGUCGGGGGGGACUGCCGCGCUAGAGGACGGGAGAGGAGCGCGGAAUUCCCGGUGUAGCGGUGAAAUGCGUAGAGAUCGGGAGGAAGGCCGGUGGCGAAGGCGGCGCUCUGGAACGUUACUGACACUGAGGCUCGAAAGCGUGGGGAGCAAACAGGAUUAGAAACCCCCGUAGUCC
rnacentral:rRNA from 1 species